ACACUGAGGAGCUUGCAGAGGGACUUCAACCCCCUCUAGUAUCGUAGAGUAUCCGAACGUAAACACAGCAGCCGGAAGUUGUACUGGUUAUCAUGUACGUCUCAUUCAUCUGCAUUUGAGUGACAAGCUUCUCUCUCCUCUGCAGAGGAGCUGCGGCUUUUCGUUGCCCAAUGACGUCAUUACUGUUCGACGGCGGUAAAGUUGAACAAGACUUCCAGGAAGGCUGUGAGUACCGCUCCGUGAAGCUAGUGUCAAAAUUUUUUCAUUAUGUAUUUUGCAACGAUACAAGUAAUUGAUGUCCACUGAUCCUGCGCUGCAGGAGAGCUGAACGGGGGGAGUGGCCGCGUUCUCAGUCUGAGUGCUGCGGGACCAGCUUGGACUAUUCACGAGGAAGAGCUGCACGUGGAGGAUGAGGGAUUUGAAGAUGUGGAGGACAGGGACCCAACGGCCCAUCAUCCUGCAGAACCAUCAGGUAAAUCACCCACCCUGCAGCCCUGAGGCCUGUCCCCAGUACCCCCACCAAACAGAGCACUUCUCCGCAGUCUGCCACUGCUGCUCCACCUGGGACAGACCCUCUGAGAUCCAACCGGAUCCGACCACUGUCGCCUGUGUGACGUCAGUCAGUUUGCACCUGGGCCACGCCAACUAUAACACUGUUUACUGAAUAAAAAAUGGUUGUUAUAAAUGUAACGUUAUGUACAUACUCAUUCAUUGUCUAACAUUAGGCUAACUUAAGCUGUCUUUACACUGCCGAGCUGGGUUAAAAUGCUGUAGCAGACCUGGGGUAGAAUUAGUGAUGAUCAAUUUCCACUGACGUUCUUUAUCCACCUUUUGCCCAGUAUGAACAUCUUUACACUGCAGAGAAGAAUUUGCGGGAUUCAAUGUGGCUCGUGCAAUUAUGUAUUUCAUGCACAAUAAACAGUCUUUCUCGUGAAUGAUUGUGAUAUUUUUGAAACAACUGCCUUGCAAAAUGUUACCCCUGAUGUUUUUGGUUUUGCUAGCUAAGCUGUUCGAGAAUAAAGCUGAGCUGAGUGUUAAAUUAACAAUCAGAACAAGAAGAAUAAAAUAAAAACAAAGGAGAUUUCACCAAUAAAGGGCAAGGCUGAAGGAACAUAUGAGGAAGCGUAAUAAAAUAACAACGCUUAUCCAUACUGCUGUAUUCUUUUAUUUAGUUCUCUCCGGCUUGACAUCUUCAUACAGAAAUCAGUCCCAGCUCUGCACCACCUAUACCCCGGGUUAAUGCUCUGUGUAAAGACGGCUUUAUUCCGAUCAUUAGCCUAUAAUAUAUUGAUGAACUUGAUGGCAGUGUAAAUAACGGCAACAUUAAGGCCAAUUCAGAUCAAUGAUUCGCAAAGAGAUUAAACGGUUUUAGAAUGUUUCAGAGAAAAUUGCAGCGGUGUGAACUGGUUAGUUGCAGAGCGUCUGAAGCCGUUGCCUGGGGUCUCAAAAGACCCACCUUGUCAAAUCGCCAAGUGCAGUUAGAACGUUUACAAUCAGACGUCUUGGAAUUUUGCAAGUUGCAUCCAGUCUCGUUCCGAAUCAUUGAUCUGAACUGACCUUUAGUUAGCUACAUUGCAACGUUGCAACAAGGUAGCAUUGCAUUCGAGAGGCGUUUUGCGAGGUCGGUACCAGUUGGUAGCAUUAGCUAGCGUUUUUUCUAAUUGUUAGCUGACAUUAGAUUGUGUUAAUUACAUUAGCUAGCUAGCUAGCUAACGCAAUAUUACAUGAUAUGAGAGAUGGCUACUGUGCGCAACUUUGCCUGAACUAAUGUUGCCUUUCUUGACAUGGUCCGGUAGCUAGCGUUAGCUGUGCAAAUAGCUAGGCUAUGUAAUUUAGUAACGUUGCAUUGUCAUCAAAUGUAAUACGAAAUCUACAUCAACAAAUAAUGACCAUGUUACACAAUGAAAACUUUUUAGGGUUCCAUAACCCCCCCCCCCCCCCCCCUUCUCUGUUAUUGUAACGCUAGCAGACACUAAAAUCCUUGUUUUUCCUGUUAAAAUUAGUGUAGAGGUGUUACGGCAUGGCUCGAAAAGCCAUAAGUCCAAUUACCCAAAAACACAAUCAAAAAGCUGAUUUAAAAACACAAACCCAGACUAGAAUAACAAACUAAUCACAAACGAAACGAAGUUAGUUCAAACAAAACGAUCUUCACAAAAACUACAAACCCAAAACCACAAAUCAAACCACACAGAAAAGAAGAUCUCAAAGAAAGACGCUCUACCCAAACCACAAACACAAAAGCCCCAAAAGAAACUGUCCCCUGCCUCAUACUACUGGGCUUAUAUUGGGCCACAGGCAGGUGGAGGCAAUCAAGCGAUUAGGCAGUUAGGUAAUUACCUCCACCUGCAUUACCCAGACCAGCAGAGGCAGGGGACGUAACAAGAGGUUGUCAGUCUGCUGGAUUGCCCACCUUGUUACUUUUUUGUUUGACCAUCAUUGUCAUAAUUAUUCUUUUUAAAGCUUUAAUAAAAAUGCAUAUUUUCACUAAAAUUCAGUCUUUCGCUGUGUUAUUACAUCCUAUUUUCAUGUCUUUUACUUGCUUUAUGCACCUCCUAGACCUGGUCAUCCUGAGGGAUUGCUCCUCCUCCGAUCCCACGGUGACCCCUCUGCACCAGUCUGACCACCACUUCAUUUCCUUCUCCCUCCCUCUUGCUCCCCUCCCUCCCUCCCCUUCAUCCACUCCUACUGUCAUGGUCCGCCGUAACCUCCGCUCCCUCUCUCCCUCCUCUCUCGCUUCUAGUGUCACUGCUUUACUCCCCCCUCUUGAAUCCUUCUCCAACCUUCCCACUGACUCUGCAUCCUCCGCUCUGUCUUCCUCGCUCUCCUCAGCACUUGACUCUCUCUAUCCUCUAGUCUCCAGGCCGGCAUGCUCGUCCCCUCCCAGUCCGUGGAUGUUUGACCCCCUCCGAACCAUCCGGGCCAGCCUACGUGCAGCGGAGAGGAAGUGGAGGAAAUCUAUGGCUCAAUCUGACCUGUCUGCCUACCAGUCUCUGCUAGCUGCAUUUUCUAUUGCUGUAACCUCUGCUAAAAUGAAUUAUCAAACAAAAAUUCAUAAAUCUGCCUCUAACCCUCA